rnacentral:rRNA from 1 species
GACGAACGCUGGCGGCGUGCUUAACACAUGCAAGUCGAACGGAAAGGCCCUGCUUUUGUGGGGUGCUCGAGUGGCGAACGGGUGAGUAACACGUGAGUAACCUGCCCUUGACUUUGGGAUAACUUCAGGAAACUGGGGCUAAUACCGGAUAGGAGCUCCUGCUGCAUGGUGGGGGUUGGAAAGUUUCGGCGGUUGGGGAUGGACUCGCGGCUUAUCAGCUUGUUGGUGGGGUAGUGGCUUACCAAGGCUUUGACGGGUAGCCGGCCUGAGAGGGUGACCGGCCACAUUGGGACUGAGAGACGGCCCAGACUCCUACGGGAGGCAGCAGUGGGGAAUAUUGCACAAUGGGCGGAAGCCUGAUGCAGCAACGCCGCGUGCGGGAUGACGGCCUUCAGGUUGUAAACCGCUUUCGCCUGUGACGAAGCGUGAGUGACGGUAAUGGGUAAAGAAGCACCGGCUAACUACGUG